UACGUAGGGUGCAAGCGUUGUCCGGAAUUAUUGGGCGUAAAGGGCUCGUAGGCGGUCCAUCGCGUCGGGAGUGAAAAGCUGGGGCUUAACCCCAGUCCUGCUUCCGAUACGGGUGGACUAGAGGUAGGUAGGGGAGAACGGAAUUCCUGGUGUAGCGGUGAAAUGCGCAGAUAUCAGGAGGAACACCGGUGGCGAAGGCGGUUCUCUGGGCCUUACCGGACGCUGAGGAGCGAAAGCAUGGGGAGCAAACAGG
rnacentral:rRNA from 1 species